rnacentral:misc_RNA from 1 species
UUUCUAGUGGUGUAGGACGCAAAGAAAGUUGCUAUUAAGCCAGCCAAGUACAGUGACGAGGUGAACAAUUGCAAGCCUUGAUUAUCAUACUUGCAGUAGUUGCUAUUGAUUGUGGGAUCCUGCGUCUUCCUGUACACAGUUGGGAAGAAUUUUUUCAAGAAAUCGGGCAUCGAUGUGACCCCCCCUGAAACUCCAACGUCGUAACCAAA